AACGAACGCUGGCGGCGCGCCUAAUACAUGCAAGUCGAGCGAGAAGGCGUAGCAAUACGCUUGUAAAGCGGCGAACGGGUGAGGAAUACAUGGGUAACCUACCCUCGAGUGGGGAAUAACCAGCCGAAAGGUUGGCUAAUACCGCAUACGAUUCCCGGACUGCGGUUCGGGAACGAAAGCGCUACCGUGGGUAGCGCGCUCUUGGAUGGGCUCAUGUCCUAUCAGCUUGUUGGUGAGGUAACGGCUCACCAAGGCUUCGACGGGUAGCUGGUCUGAGAGGACGAUCAGCCACACUGGCACUGCGACACGGGCCAGACUCCUACGGGAGGCAGCAGUAAGGAAUAUUGCGCAAUGGGCGAAAGCCUGACGCAGCGACGCCGCGUGGGGGAUGAAGGUCUUCGGAUUGUAAACCCCUUUCGGGAGGGAAGAUGGAACGGGCAACCGUUCGGACGGUACCUCCAGAAGCAGCCACGGCUAACUUCGUGCCAGCCGCCGCAGUAAGAC
rnacentral:rRNA from 1 species